rnacentral:tRNA from 1 species
GGGGAUAUAGCUCAGUUGGUAGAGUGCUUGCCUUGCAUGCACAUGGUCCUGGGUUUGAUUUCCAGUACCACA